UACAGGAGGGUGCGAGCGUUAAUCGGAAUUACUGGGCGUAAAGCGUGCGUAGACGGCUAUCUAAGUCGGGUGUGAAAGCCCCGGGCUCAACCUGGGAAUUGCAUUCGAGACUGAAUAGCUAGGGUGCGGUAGAGGGAAGCGGAAUUUCCGGUGUAGCGGUGAAAUGCGUAGAUAUCGGAAGGAACAUCAGUGGCGAAAGCGGCUUCCAUGGACC
rnacentral:rRNA from 1 species